CCCUUAGAUGUUCUGGGCUGCACGCGCGCUACACUGAUGCGCUCAACGAGUUUUAACCUUGCCUGGAAAGGUUGGGUAAUCUUUUUAAAACGCAUCGUGAUGGGGAUAGAUUAUUGCAAUUAUUAAUCUUCAACGAGGAAUUCCUAGUAAGCGCGAGUCAUCAGCUCGUGCUGAUUACGUCCCUGCCCUUUGUACACACCGCCCGUCGCUCCUACCGAAUGAGUGAUCCGGUGAAUAAUUCGGACUGCGGCAUUGACCGGUUCCCGAUCGUUGCUGCGGAAAGUUUAGUGAACCUUAUCACUUAGAGGAAGGAGAAGUCGUAACA
rnacentral:rRNA from 1 species